UCGAGGGGAAACGGCAUUGGGUGCUUGCACUGAAUGGACGUCGACCGGCGCACGGGUGAGUAACGCGUAUCCAACCUUCCCGUUACUGCGGGAUAACCUGCCGAAAGGCAGACUAAUACCGCAUGUUCUUCGAUGACGGCAUCAGAUUCGAAGCAAAGAUCCGUCGGUAACGGAGGGGGAUGCGUCUGAUUAGCUAGUUGGCGGGGCGACGGCCCACCAAGGCGACGAUCAGUAGGGGUUCUGAGAGGAAGGUCCCCCACAUUGGAACUGAGACACGGUCCAAACUCCUACGGGAGGCAGCAGUGAGGAAUAUUGGUCAAUGGGCGGAAGCCUGAACCAGCCAAGUAGCGUGCAGGACGACGGCCCUACGGGUUGUAAACUGCUUUUAUGCGGGGAUAAAGUGAGGGACGCGUCCCUUUUUGCAGGUACCGCAUGAAUAAGGACCGGCUAAUUCCGUGCCAGCAGCCGCGGUAAUACGGAAGGUCCGGGCGUUAUCCGGAUUUAUUGGGUUUAAAGGGAGCGUAGGCCGGGGAUUAAGUGUGUUGUGAAAUGUAGGCGCCCAACGUCUGACUUGCAGCGCAUACUGGUUCCCUUGAGUACGCGCAACGCCGGCGGAAUUCGUCGUGUAGCGGUGAAAUGCUUAGAUAUGACGAAGAACCCCGAUUGCGAAGGCAGCCGGCGGGAGCGCAACUGACGCUGAAGCUCGAAGGUGCGGGUAUCGAACAGGAUU
rnacentral:rRNA from 1 species